GGGGAAUAUUGGUCAAUGGGGGAAACCCUGAACCAGCAAUGCCGCGUGAAGGAAGAAGGCUUUCGGGUUGUAAACUUCUUUUAUCAGGGAAGAGUAGAAGACUGUACCUGAUGAAUAAGCCACGGCUAACUACGUGCCAGCAGCCGCGGUAAUACGUAGGUGGCAAGCGUUGUCCGGAUUUACUGGGUGUAAAGGGCGUGUAGCCGGGAAGGCAAGUCAGAUGUGAAAUUCAUGGGCUCAACCCAUGACCUGCAUUUGAAACUGUUUUUCUUGAGUAUCGGAGAGGCAAUCGGAAUUCCUAGUGUAGCGGUGAAAUGCGUAGAUAUUAGGAGGAACACCAGUGGCGAAGGCGGAUUGCUGGACGACAACUGACGGUGAGGCGCGAAAGCGUGGGGAGCAAAC
rnacentral:rRNA from 1 species